rnacentral:rRNA from 1 species
GAUGAACGCUGGCGGCGUGCUUAACACAUGCAAGUCGAGCGAAGCAUUUAGGAUGAUCUCUUCGGAUUGAGUCUUAUAUGACUGAGCGGCGGACGGGUGAGUAACGCGUGGGUAACCUGCCUCAUACAGGGGGAUAACAGUUAGAAAUGACUGCUAAUACCGCAUAAGCGCACAGGGCUGCAUGGCCUGGUGUGAAAAACUCCGGUGGUAUGAGAUGGACCCGCGUCUGAUUAGCUAGUUGGAGGGUAACGCCACAAGGCGACGAUCAGUAGCCGGCCUGAGAGGGUGAACGGCCACAUUGGGACUGAGACACGGGCCCAGACUCCUACGGGAGCAGCAGUGGGAAUAUUGCACAUGGGGAAACCUGAUGCAGCGACGCGCGUGAAGGAAG